rnacentral:rRNA from 1 species
GACAGAGGGGGCAAGCGUUGCUCGGAAUUACUGGGCGUAAAGGGCGCGUAGGCGGAAUGGCAAGCCGGUCGUGAAAUCCUUCGGCUCAACCGAAGAACGUCGAUCGAAACUGCCGUUCUUGAGGAUUGCAGAGGAGACUGGAAUUCCCGGUGUAGCGGUGAAAUGUGUAGAGAUCGGGAGGAACACCGGUGGCGAAGGCGGGUCUCUGGGCAAUUCCUGACGCUGAGGCGCGAAAGCGUGGGGAGCAAACGGG